AACGAACGCUGGCGGCAUGCCUAACACAUGCAAGUCGAACGAGACCUUCGGGUCUAGUGGCGCACGGGUGCGUAACGCGUGGGAACCUGCCCUUAGGUUCGGAAUAACUCCCCGAAAGGGGUGCUAAUACCGGAUAAUGUCUUCGGACCAAAGAUUUAUCGCCUCUGGAUGGGCCCGCGUUGGAUUAGCUAGUUGGUAGGGUAAAAGCCUACCAAGGCGACGAUCCAUAGCUGGUCUGAGAGGAUGAUCAGCCACACUGGGACUGAGACACGGCCCAGACUCCUACGGGAGGCAGCAGUGGGGAAUAUUGGACAAUGGGCGAAGGCCUGAUCCAGCAAUGCCGCGUGAGUGAUGAAGGCCUUAGGGUUGUAAAGCUCUUUUACCCGGGAUGAUAAUGACAGUACCGGGAGAAUAAGCUCCGGCUAACUCCGUG
rnacentral:rRNA from 1 species